ACCCAGGUGCCCCUAGAAUUUUAUAAAAGUUUUAAUUAAAAAAUCUGUGACAUAUUCUCAAAAUAAAAAUACUCUGGGAAGCUAUCAAUGACAAUGCAUAGAAAACACUUCUAAAAUGCUCUUAGGAGAAUCCAUUAGGCUCCUGUACUUGUAGGAAUGAUGGUAUUAGCAUACUCUAUGGUCCCAGGAAGAUUCAGAAAUUAUCUUUCAAACCUGUCAAGCACUGAGUGAAAAUGAUUCUUUUGGAAAUCUUUACAACACAGUUUUCCCCUAGUUGCAAUAGAUGUUUACUGGAUCCAGGGAAAGUCUGCCUAUAUUACUUGCACAGGUAUUUUCUUCCUUGGUCUCCACCUACGUGUCCCACUCCCUCUCCUUUUUUUUUUUUUUUUUUUUUUUUUUUUGUAUUUUCUGAAUUACAUUCUUCCCAAGGCUAUCUCCAGUGAUUCCUCCAUAGUACAUGGCAUUUUUUCUAGAUGGCACUUUAAAAAACCCUGAGAACGCAUUAUGCAAACACACGCAUACAAACUCACACUUGUCAUAUUUGAACACUUACCUCACUUACACAUCCCCCUUCCUCAUGCCCAUCCAGGGCAGGUACCUCACCCACAGUCCAUCCAGGACCAAUUCUAGAAGGUCCUGGGAUGGAUCCAACAGCCCCCCAGGAUUGACAUUCCAACAAUUUCAUGUAUCUCCUACUCCACACCUUGAUGACAAACAUUUGUGGCUGUCUCACGCCUACGUUACAAGGUGCCUGUGGGCACGGGUUCAUAGCUCCAAAGCACAGGAGCCAAAGGCCUCUUCAGCGCUGUGGUUUGUGUGGAAACACUGAGGCUGGUUGGGUCAAGUGCGUUUCUCCCUCCUCGUAUUGGGUCCCCAACCCUCAUCCCCUGGCUCUCCUCCCUCAUUCCCACCGGGCCCGAAAUUUCUCGCAGGUCCGUGGGCGACUACCUGCCGAAGAAAUUCCACGCGGCGUAUAAUGCACCUCCGGCAUAGAAGAACGGUGGUCUUGCUCUCCUUGGAGACGUGUGUGUGUGUGUUCUGGUCCAUGGCUCCCUUUCCUUCAAUGGACAUUUAUCACAUAUACACAAGUGACUUGUAGAAUGGCAUUUGUACGAGUCCUCAAAUGCUGCAGAUUGAAAUCACUCAAAUAUCUAUCAUUUGUCUUUAGUUUUACGAUAAUAGGAUACUAGCAUCAUUAUCUUUAACACCAGAAUUAAAGUGUGACAAAUGCAAUAACAUGUAUAAAAACCAUAAUGUUGCUUGAUAAUGGCUAGAUAGAAAAAGUGUAUAUUCAUUCAUGUGAAUUUGAAGAAAGGACCAGGCUAAUCUGUGGGGGUAGACAUCAGAAUAGUUUAAAAUAGCAGGGAUGGAUAGCCAUUACCUGGAAAGUGUAUCAGAGAGCCAUACGUGCUUGGCUGAUAGAAAAUUUCUGUCUUGAUCGUGGUGAUAAUUGAACAUUUCAAUAUUUAAA